rnacentral:rRNA from 1 species
UACGUAGGGUGCGAGCGUUAAUCGGAAUUACUGGGCGUAAAGCGUGCGCAGGCGGUUUUGCAAGCCGGAUGUGAAAUCCCCGGGCUCAACCUGGGAAUGGCAUUCGGGACUGCAAGGCUGGAGUGCGGCAGAGGAGACUGGAAUUCCUGGUGUAGCAGUGAAAUGCGUAGAUAGUCAGGAGGAAUACCGAUGGCGAAGGCAGGUCUCUGGGCUGACACUGACGCUCAUGCACGAAGCGU